rnacentral:lncRNA from 1 species
ACAACAGGUGCAGGCAGGCUUUCAGAGCUUUCCAGGUCACUCUCUGCUCCAUGUGGUUGAGAUGUGAGCUCUCAGCUUCCUGGCCCUGUUGUCACCUUGUCGGCUACUUGCUGCCAGGCCUCCCCAACUUGAGACUUGUCCUUCUGCAACUGUGAACCCAAAUAAACUCUUCCAUCUAGAAAUCACAUUUGGUUGCGGUGCCCAAGGUGGCUAGAAGGAAGGCAUCAAUACCCUAGAGCUGGAGUUAUAGCAGCUGGUGAGCUGCCUCGUGGGUGCUGGGAAGUGCAUUGGGGUCCUCUGGAAGAGCAGCGAGGGCUCUUAACCUCUGAGCAUGGCUGGAGAAUUCGCUGGUGCUCCUCCUUGAAGCGUGCCAGGAAACCCAAAAAUGUCACCCUCUAAUCUUCCCUCUUCCUUCUGCCCUGCAAGAUGCUCACAUGGCAGGUACAUUUCUCCUGUCCCAGGAGAGAAAGAACAUCUCCAGAUGCCAGCAAGAGCCCGAACCAACAGUCUUGGUAUAGCAUCACUCUCAACAGGCUGGGCCCUCCAGAUCAAUCAUGAAUGAAGAAAUACCUCACAGACUUGCGUACAAGACAAUUUGAUGGAGGCAGUUCCCCAACUGGAUUCCCUCUUCUCAGAUGACUCUAGCUUAAGUCAAGUUGACAAGAACAAAUCAACAAAAAAAGCAGUCAACAACAUCAAAACCUACCCAGGAAACCCCGCCGCGCUGCGUCUAGAGUAAAGGGAAAUCAAUGGAUGUGCCUAAGGAAGGCAUUCAAAGUGUUAUUUUACCUUUGCAAAGCUGUGUUUGUCCCAGUCCAAGCCGUCUGUUCCGAUCUGCACGGGAGUGGGAGG